GAUGAACGCUGGCGGCGUGCCUAAUACAUGCAAGUCGAGCGAACAGAUAAGGAGCUUGCUCCUUUGACGUUAGCGGCGGACGGGUGAGUAACACGUGGGUAACCUACCUAUAAGACUGGGAUAACUUCGUGAAACCGGAGCUACUACCGCCUCACAUUUGCAACCGCAUGGUUCUAAAGUUAAAGAUGGUUUUGCUAUCACUUAUAGAUGGACCCGCGCCGGAUUAGCUAGUUGGUAAGGUAACGGCGUACCAAGGCAACGAUACGUAGCCGACCUGAGAGGGUGAUCGGCCACACUGGAACUGAGACACGGUCCAGACUCCUACGGGAGGCAGCAGUAGGGAAUCUUCCGCAAUGGGCGAAAGCCUGACGGAGCAACGCCGCGUGAGUGAUGAAGGGUUUCGGCUCGUAAAACUCUGUUAUUAGGGAAGAACAGAUGUGUAAGUAACUGUGCACGUCUUGACGGUACCUAAUCAGAAAGCCACGGCUAACUACGUG
rnacentral:rRNA from 1 species